AGAGCAGGAUGGGUCUCACUCUGCCCAGGAGGCCCCGGGAGGGGCAGGAGGUAGUCCCUGGCUCCUGCAAGAGCUGGAGCCCUGGGGCCCCUGAGAAAGACCACAGUGGUGGCUGGGUGGGCCCUCCUUGCCACAAAAGGCUACCAGGAUCAGGACCUGGACCCCCGAUUUCCAUCAUCACCAAACUCAAAGGGUUUCCGUGUCCCAGAUUGAGGAGCUGGGGAACCGGCUGUGGGACAUGGCUGACUUCGUGGAGCUGUCACAGCUUUCCCAUGUGCCAUCAGACUCAGGGGACACCGGAAAGUUAAGCAGGGGAGUAGCAUGUCCCUGGGGAAUGCAGGGCUGGGUGACGAAGAGGAGACACCUCCUGGGCCUGGGUGACGCUAUUCUCUCAUCACCUCAGCACCCUCCACCCCACUGGUGAACCGCUGGGCUGACAAAGACUGUCCUGAAGAGGAGACGGGGACGCACAGCCACAUCUGUAGGCCUGUCUUCCAGCGCCUCCACUGGGGUGGGGUUUCAGGGGGCCGUGCUGGGACCCUUGGUGUCUCCCGCAUGUAGGCCCAGUGGUGCCUCUGCGUCUCUUCUUUCUGCCAACAGCCCCCUGCCCACGCACUUCCCAGGCCCUGUGGAGACUUGAGGGCCUGGAGUUUGUCUUGUGUUUUCAAGGCAUAAAAAUGGGCCAGUGUGUGGAGUUCAACAGGACCCACAGGACCUGUGAGAUCCAGGGCUGGUGCCCCAUGGAGAGUGACGCUGUGCCCAUGUAAGUGUCACCAACACCCAGGGCAGGUCCCAGGACCAGCAGAGCCUGCCCCUGACCUCCCCCACCUGUGGGAAGCCCCUGCUGCUCUAG